CAGUAGCCACGGGAAUACGGAGGGUGCAAGCGUUAAUCGGAAUUACUGGGCGUAAAGCGCACGCAGGCGGCUUGUUAAGCCAGAUGUGAAAUCCCCGAGCUUAACUUGGGAACUGCAUUUGAAACUGGCAAGCUAGAGUCUUGUAGAGGGGGGUAGAAUUCCAGGUGUAGCGGUGAAAUGCAUAGAGAUCUGGAGGAAUACCGGUGGCGAAGGCGGCCCCCUGGACAAAGACUGACGCUCAGGUGCGAAAGCGUGGGGAGCAAACAGGAUUAGAUACCCCUGUAGUCCCUGUCUCUUAUAC
rnacentral:rRNA from 1 species